rnacentral:rRNA from 1 species
UACGGAAGGCAGCAGUGGGGAAUAUUGCACAAUGGGCGAAAGCCUGAUGCAGCUAUGCCGCGUGUAUGAAGAAGGCCUUAGGGUUGUAAAGUACUUUCAUCGGGGAGGAAAAACAAAACUAAUAAUUUUAUUUCUUGACGUUACCCGAAAAAGAAGCACCGGCUAACUCCGUGCCAGCAGCCGCGGUAAUACGGAGGGUGCUAGCGUUAAUCAGAAUUACUGGGCGUAAAGAGCACGUAGGUGGUUUUUUAAGUCAGAUGUGAAUCCCUGGGCUUAACCUAGGAACUGCAUUUUGAAACUGAAAUACUAGAGUAUCGUAGAGGGAGGUAGAAUUCUAGGUGUAGCGGUGAAAUGCGUAGAUAUCUGGAGGAAUACCUGUGGCGAAAGCGGCCUCCUAAACGAAUACUGACACUGAGGUGCGAAAGCGUGGGGAGCAAACAGGGAUUAGAUACC